UAAAGGGCAAACCGAUUGCAAGAUCGGGACGCAAAGCUUCCGGUCCAGGGAUGAGCCGUACUGAGAUAGCGGGGCCACCA
rnacentral:ncRNA from 1 species